UUUUUUUUCAGUCCAUGAGGGGGUGUCCCUGGAAAAGAAGUUGCUGGUAGUUAAGUUGCACCUGAGAAGAAAUCUGAAUAUGUGAUGAAAAGCAGCUUUGGAGGUAUAAAAAAGUGUUUCUUCAUGAAAGACCACCAAUAUCACCUGCUGUAAAGCUGGAGGAAGACAGGGGAAGUCUGUUUUCACUAUGCACGCCGUAUGAAGAACAUCUGAGUGCAGACCUGGAAUUUGUUACACAAAAGACAAUUAAUCCAGAUAACUUUGCAUUUGAAUUAAUUUUGUAUACGGAAAGAUUGGGACUUAGAGUAGCAAGUUUUGUUCAUCUCUUACCACGCACUGCCAAAAUACCAUGCAACUACGUGACUGUAGGGCACCAUAUGAACCAGGUCUUUCUUUUUCCCCCCCAAGGAGAAACGGAGAUGUUUGCAGAUAAAACAAGGAGGGGGGAUCUUUGGAAGUGAAUGCCUGGCCUGAAGCCCAGCUACUCCAGUAAGCAAGGACCUGCUUCUAGCAAGGCUUAGGUGCUUCAGAAGAAGGUGUGGAAAGCUGAUGCUAUGAAGAAAAGAGACUCAACAACAGUUUCUGUACCAUCGUCACCACAGUUCUGUACCCACAACAUCAAACAAAAG
ensembl:lncRNA